AUGGAGACGACGCCGGCUCUGGUCACCAUGGCGACAGACCCUCCAAAGUGGGUGAUUCUUCCAGUGGAAAGUCCCCAUAAUCCCUCCGGUGCCCGCCCCCCGACCGCGGUCUCCAGGCGGGGACAAGGGCCCCAGCGCCGAGCCCAGAUACCGGCCCUUCCCCAGCCCCUGGAGCUGGGGUGGAGGUGGGUGGGCGGUGGAGCCCCCCCACUCCCCAAACCCGGGCACCUGAUGCCCGGGGCGAAGGACGAAAGGGAGUUAAAGACAGAAGAAUCGUGUUCACAACCAAUAACGACAAAGUACCAAAGUCACACGCUGGAACUCCCGGGGAGCGGAAAAGCAGAAGCGGGCUGUACCACCUUUCCCGUCCCCGGAAGCCGGUUCGGGAGAAAGAGAGCGGGAGCCGGAGCCCGGGAGGAGGAGCCUCUCCCGUCUGCACUGGCAGCGGACGGACAAGACUCCCUCACGAUGGAGAUUUUUAUUCCCCGUUCUCGUAAAAAACCAACAUUCAGAACAACAGAAAGGAGAUUGUUCAAUAGCAAACAAGGGGCUUUUCAAGGCUCGCACCCACCCCGGUGGACCCCUCGCCACAGCAGAGCCGCGACAGAGGUCAGUGGUUGGAGAGGACUCGGCUUUCCUCGUGCACGGGCUUGGCUUUGGAUCAAGUGA
rnacentral:lncRNA from 1 species